GAAGCGGCGCCGAGUGGCUGUUGCUGUGCGGCGCUCGGGGGCAGGGCAAAGACGGUCCAAUUCCGAGGAGGCAGGGGCGGCGUGGGGCCAAGUGGGCGUGUCGGCGCCGGGCUGCAGAGGGCGAUCCGGAGGCAGCGGAGGUGCAGCCAGGGCGGGGAGCUGCGAUCCCGGGCUCCUGAGUGGAUAGAGAACAGAUGCAGGCUCGGGCGCGGGGAGCGUGGCCGAGGCGGAACUCGGGGCUUACAGGGACGCGAGCUGGACGGACUGGGGCGUGACGGGAAUCAGAGCGUGACGUACCCCGGCGUGAGGGGUGUGGCAAUGCGUAAGGGGCGUGGACAAUAUGGCCGCGCACAUGAGACUCGUGUUCGGUUGCCAAAAUGGGCAUUUGCUUUUAGGGAAACAAUCGGGCACGGUCUGGCGGCUUUGUGGAGUGUGGACAGAGAAGGGACCUAGCCUACCAGAAAGGAGAGGGACUCCCCCCUCCACCCCCGUGCGCGAGAGCGCGUUGCGUUGAGUUCCGGAGCUGAGACAUUCGGCCCCGCGAAUGGCCACGGUCCGGCGGACGUUUCUGGAGGAGGUAGGGAAUCACGCCUUCCCGGCUCUCACCCUACUCCUCCACUAUCAGGGUCGUCAGACAGCUACGCACCUUGAAGGUUCAGUCCAGUCCAGAAACCGAGCUUCCUUCAAGUUACUUGGGAACUGACCAAAAUUUCAAGCUACAGGUGAAGGUGACAGAGAGCCUGAGGGUCAUUUCAAGAGGAUCCAGGCAUGUCACCAUGGAGGAGAUUCCCAAUCCUGAGCGCCAUGCCAGUGACCGGACUGAGCCUGACAGCUUGGAAUAGCAUGGUGCUGCGUGAAGCCACGGCCCUCGUAGGCCCACCCUGUACGUGUGAAUUCAGUGGGCAAGACCUGCCUUGUCCUCUGUGUUGGUCAGUGAUGACGUCCCCAACUGGCCAACUCCUAAGACUUUCAGACUCCUGAGCUGCAACAGACCCACAAUUGCAAGGUCCGGGUAUGUGAGCCUAGAUAGACGACCUCAUGAUGACACCCCACUGUGCUUUCUCCCAGUGCACCUACUUUGGGGGAUCAUGGACCUGGUUCCGGGGGCCAAUCACCAAGUCACCCAUCCGGUGAAGGGACAGUGUCUGUGAUCCUGGCUUAAAACCACUCACCAUCUCUUAUGACCAAACCACCUGCCUCCAUGUCUGGACUAACAGGUAUUCCUUCCUCGUGGAAUUUGAAGAUUCUUCAGCUAAGUCAGGUGAGAGCCAGCCUGGUGGUCUCACCCGGAGUGAAAGAGACAGUUGUACAUCAGCACAGGCCACAAUACACUGACUCCGUUGGCUCCUCCGUCUCCAGAACUCUUCUCCAUACUGCAAACUAAAACUCUCUGCCCAUUAAACAGUAUGUCCCAAUUUCUUUCCCUGCACCUUCCCACCUGUACCUCCCUGCCAGGCUGUGAUAGUGAUCGUUUUACUUUCUAUGCAUUUGACUACUGGUAGAAUCAUACAGUAUCUGUUGUUCUGUGACUAGCUGAUUUCAGUUAGUAUAACCCUCAAAGUUCAUGAUGUUGUGCCCCUAUCCAGAUUUCCUUCCUUCCUAAGGCCAAAUAAUAUUCACUGUAUGCACAGAUCACUUUAUUUUUUUUUUAACUUGGCAGUCACUUGAAUGGCUAACACUUUUGGCUAUUGUGAAAAAUGCUACUAUGCACAGGGAUGUUUACAUGUGUUAUCAAUUCCUUCGGCUGUCUACCCAGAAGCUGGAUCAUCACUGGCCUUUUUGGGUGUAUGAAAAAAGUCCCUUCUCUUUUUAAUGCAUGUUUCCUUCUAGUAUAUUUGCAUUUUCUAUUAAUAUUAAACUGUACGUGUAGAUUCUGUAAUUGCUAAAGAAAAUAGAGCAUGUAAUUAUAGUUUUGCUAGGAAAUUAUUUUGUUUGUGUUGAAUUUGUGCUUCCUCUGCUUGGUGAUUUUAAAAAUGACUUCUGUAUCAGUAGUAGUAUCGAAUAGUCAGACAGUAAUGAUAAACAUGGACUACAGAGCAAAGGGAUAUUCAGGCAAUAAAAGGACAUUUUACUUUUUUGGUCCCCUAAUAGCAUGCACAUAUUUUGUCAUUUGUUGAUUUAUGUAUUUGUUCUGCAUUUGCCUACCGCGCCCUAGGCUUUGCACUGUGUCAAUGAUGCUCAUGUCAUUCCUGUUCUCUUAGGGCUCAUAGUUUGAGAGAAACACACACGAAAUUAGGAUUUAAAGCUAGUAUGAUUUGAAAGGGGUUUUAAAAGUACUGUGGGACCAUGAAGGGGGUUUGGCAUGCACAGCUUUUAGGAGUCUAUGAUGAUUUCGCUAAGGAGAGGACGUUUUUGGGGUGUACUUUAGGAUGAAGGAUUUUCCAGGUAGGUAAAGGCAUUCCAGAAGCAGGAAAGGCAUUCCAGAAGAAUGUGCAAACACAGUUGAUGCAAAGAUGGCUGAAAAACAAAGUGGCAAGAAUGCAGAAUGUGUCCUGAGAAGAGGCAGGGAGAAUGUUCACCAUGGGAGGCAGGUGCAUUAAACACUGGUUUUUUUAUUAAAGGUUAUUUAUUUAUGCACAUAGAACUGGAGUACAAGCCAGAG